CAGUCCAAGAAGAAUGUCAGGGCCUCUGCCUGACUACACUCAGGAACCCUGCUUGAAAAUAAUCAUCAAAAUUCUGUGUCACACUAACCCAAACCCUGUACCCUGUAUUGUACAAUUAGCAAAUGAGCAUGUUUUUCAUUUUGCAUAACUUCUGAUGUUCCUGUUACUGAUGAGCAAGGGGAAAAAAAGGACUGCAGGUUAUCAAAACUCAGCCCAUUCCUACUUCUUACCGCAUUCAUCUUUGGAGAGUUAACCAAAGUUUUUCCAGUUUACUUUCACGCCAGUAUUUGUUGCCUUUUGAGCUUGUUGGGUGAGCCAUCCACUAAUGUGUUUACAGGUGGACAUACAGAAAAUGACCCCCCCUAAUAAUCUGUGCACAUAACUGGGUAGAUAGGAAUAUACAUCCUUACGCCUCCAGGACAACCCAGUCACCCCUAUUUUGAGGUUAAGCUGUGUAGACAUAAUAGUGUACCAUUCAGGCUUAGUUACAGGCACUACCCACCCGGCUGCUAUUUGUGCCAAUUUCUGCAUAUUCCAUUUGUAGCCCAGGGUGAGGUGCAAUAAAAAAAAGUUAGGUUCCCCUCUAACCAUGUCUCAGUAAUCACCAUGGCACUGUUCAAUUUCUGUAUAUUAGCUAUGUGUGAGUCGUCCUUUCAUAUGCUUGAGCAAUGCCCAGGAAAAGCAAAUAUCUGUAUCACUACAACCUGCCAUAUCUGUUUGAAUAUUGUCUCCCAAACCUUUGUCUGCUUCUACAGAGCAGAAAAGAGAAUAUGCAGACUGUAUGUUGAAUUAUGGUGUUGGAGGAGACUCUUGAGAGUCCCAUGGACUGCAAGAAGAUCAAACCUAUCCAUUCUUAAGGAAAUCAGCCCUGAGUGCUCACUGGAAGGACAGAUCCUGAAGCGGAGGCUCCAAUACUUUGACCACCUCAUGAUAAGAGAAGACUCCCUGGAAAAGACCCUGAUGUUGGGAAAGGUGGAGGGCACAAGGAGAAGGGGAUGACAGAGGACGAGAUGGUUGGACAGUGUUCUCGAAACUACCAGCAUGAGUUUGACCAAACUGCAGGAGGCAGUAGAAGAUAGGAGUGCCCUGGUCCAUGGAGUCACAAAGAGUCAGACACGACUAAAUGACUAAACAUGUUGAUCUCUGGCUUGGCAGUGGAUAAUUCCUGCUCUCUAUCACUGCUGCCAGCUCUCUCUGAUGGCCUUUUCCAGGGUUGGGGUCGGCUACAGUGGGCUUCCCCCUCUAGAACCCAACAGUAGCAAUACUUAGGCUUGUCUUGCUAUCCCUUUCUGCCAAUAACUGGAGCUAUGGUGACUCUGUAACUACCAUCUGCAAACAGGUUUUCCUGGUGGACACUUUAGUACAGAGCUUUCCAAACUUUUCAUGUCUGUGACACUCUUU